rnacentral:rRNA from 2 species
GCUAAUACCGCAUAACAACUUGGACCGCAUGGUCCGAGUUUGAAAGAUGGCUUCGGCUAUCACUUUUGGAUGGUCCCGCGGCGUAUUAGCUAGAUGGUGGGGUAACGGCUCACCAUGGCAAUGAUACGUAGCCGACCUGAGAGGGUAAUCGGCCACAUUGGGACUGAGACACGGCCCAAACUCCUACGGGAGGCAGCAGUAGGGAAUCUUCCACAAUGGACGAAAGUCUGAUGGAGCAACGCCGCGUGAGUGAAGAAGGGUUUCGGCUCGUAAAACUCUGUUGUUAAAGAAGAACAUAUCUGAGAGUAACUGUUCAGGUAUUGACGGUAUUUAACCAGAAAGCCACGGCUAACUACGUGCCAGCAGCCGCGGUAAUACGUAGGUGGCAAGCGUUGUCCGGAUUUAUUGGGCGUAAAGCGAGCGCAGGCGGUUUUUUAAGUCUGAUGUGAAAGCCUUCGGCUCAACCGAAGAAGUGCAUCGGAAACUGGGAAACUUGAGUGCAGAAGAGGACAGUGGAACUCCAUGUGUAGCGGUGAAAUGCGUAGAUAUAUGGAAGAACACCAGUGGCGAAAGCGGCUGUCUGGUCUGUAACUGACGCUGAGGCUCGAAAGUAUGGGUAGCAACAGGAUUAGAUACCCUGGUAGUCCAUA